UACGGAGGGGGCUAGCGUUGUUCGGAAUUACUGGGCGUAAAGCGCGCGUAGGCGGACCUGCAAGUCGGGGGUGAAAGCCCGAGGCUCAACCUCGGAACUGCCUUCGAUACUGCGGGUCUCGAGUUCGGGAGAGGUGAGUGGAAUUCCUAGUGUAGAGGUGAAAUUCGUAGAUAUUAGGAAGAACACCAGUGGCGAAGGCGGCUCAGCUGGCCCGGUACUGACGCUGAGGCGACGAAAGCGUGGGGAGCAAACAGG
rnacentral:rRNA from 1 species